UAUUACCGCGGCUGCUGGCACGAAGUUAGCCGAUGCUUAUUCCUCAAAUACCGUCAGAACUUCUUCAAUGAGAAAAGGAGUUUACAACCCUAAGGCCUUCUUCCUCCACGCGGCAUUGCUCCGUCAGGCUUUCACCCAUUGCGGAAAAUUCCUCACUGCUGCCUCCCGUAGGAUCUC
rnacentral:rRNA from 1 species